GUAGGUUUCACACACAGUUCAGGACACAGCAUGACAUGCAUAUAAUUUGUGUUAGGAUUUUAUUUCAAAUUCAUUGGUCCCUGCCAUGCGGGAAGUUGUCAUCACUUAAAAGUAACCGUGGGUUUAACAGCUCACUUGGAAGGGUAAAUGUCGCAGCCCAAGUUGACAGUGCAUACAGGCGCUCCAUUGAGCAGCAUAACAAACAGGUGGAGGAAAACAGGUGAGCUCAGGUAAGGACUGAUGAGAACAGCAGGCCAAUGGAGCCCAUACAUCAGCGAUAGACGCAGGUGACAGCUGCUCCGAAUUCCUCCAUCCACCAUGGGACCACACAGUGUUCUUCACCUGGAAGAAGACGAGAGAUGAAGUAUGGCUGAGGUUGGUCAAGAGAAUCAUGGGAGAGGGCAUCAGCCUUCUGGUUCCAUUCCAGUGUGUUUUGAGACUAGGAUGACUUGAGCGGAAACACAUUGAGAGACUGAUCAAUAGUCUUUCUUCAGAGGGCCUCGGAAAGGUGUUUUGGAUCCUCCGAAUGUACUCUGUAAUGUUUUUGUAAUCAUUUGCACCUGUUUUUGUUCAUUUGAUUAAUAUUUUAGCCAAUUUAUGUGAUUCUGCAUCAGGAAAUUGCUUUUCUGUUUAUUUUAUUUGCAUAAAUGGUUUCAAGGUUAAAGUUUUUUGUGUGAUUUGAUAAAUUGGGUGGGAAUUUUGGCUGGGAAUUUAGCUCAAAUAUGUGUAUAAAUAAUAAAAAUAAAAUCUCUCUUUCCAGGGGAUGUACUUACUUUUAUACAUGACAUUAAUGUACAUGAGAUUUUAUUUGUUCAGUAAACUGGCAUUAGUUUCUAAAAACAUAUUUUGACUUUGUCACAGUGGCGCAUUCUGUUUACAGUAGAUUGAUUGUAAAGAAACAAAGUAAUCAAUAAAAAAGGUCUAUAAUACAACAACAUGGAGAAAGUGAAGGGGUAUGAAUACUUU
ensembl:lncRNA